GGAUUAGAUACCCUGGUAGUCCACGCCGUAAACGAUGAGUGCUCGCUGACGGGACUAUAUGUCUCGGUGGCCAAGCUAACGCAUUAAGCACUCCGCCUGGGGAGUACGGCCGCAAGGUUAAAACUCAAAGGAAUUGACGGGGACCCGCACAAGCGGUGGAGCAUGUUGUUUAAUUCGAAGCAACGCGAAGAACCUUACCCGGCCUUGACAUACCCAUCGUACCUUCCCGAAAAGGAAGGGUCAUUUAGUUGGAUGGUGUACAGGUGUUGCAUGGCUGUCGUCAGCUCGUGCCG
rnacentral:rRNA from 1 species